CAGCAAUGUAGUCCUUCCGUCAACUUUGAGAUACGUGUUACACUUCUGCAUGUCACGUGACCACGCUGUCAAAGUUGACGGAAGGACUACAUUGCUG
rnacentral:pre_miRNA from 1 species